AUUGAACGCUGGCGGCAUGCCUUACACAUGCAAGUCGAACGGUAGAGUAGCAAUACUUGAGAGUGGCGAACGGGUGAGUAAUAUAUCGGAACGUGCCCAGUCGUGGGGGAUAACGUAGAGAAAUUUACGCUAAUACCGCAUACGAUCUAAGGAUGAAAGCGGGGGAUUCGCAAGAACCUCGCGCGAUUGGAGCGGCUGAUAUCAGAUUAGGUUGUUGGUGAGGUAAAAGCUCACCAAGCCGACGAUCUGUAGCUGGUUUGAGAGAACGACCAGCCACACUGGGACUGAGACACGGCCCAGACUCCUACGGGAGGCAGCAGUGGGGGAAUUUUUGGACAAUGGGCGAAAGCCUGAUCCAGCAAUGCCGCGUGCAGGAA
rnacentral:rRNA from 1 species